ACUCUUAUGGUGAAAUGGUAAACACAUUUGAUUCAAAAUCAAACGCAAUUUGCUUGUCAGUUCGAGUCUGAUUAAGAGUA
rnacentral:tRNA from 1 species